rnacentral:rRNA from 1 species
ACACAUGCAAGUCGAGGGGCAGCAUGAACUUAGCUUGCUAAGUUUGAUGGCGACCGGCGCACGGGUGAGUAACACGUAUCCAACCUGCCGAUGACUCGGGGAUAGCCUUUCGAAAGAAAGAUUAAUACCCGAUGGCAUAGUUCUUCCGCAUGGUGGAACUAUUAAAGAAUUUCGGUCAUCGAUGGGGAUGCGUUCCAUUAGGUUGUUGGCGGGGUAACGGCCCACCAAGCCUUCGAUGGAUAGGGGUUCUGAGAGGAAGGUCCCCCACAUUGGAACUGAGACACGGUCCAAACUCCUACGGGAGGCAGCAGUGAGGAAUAUUGGUCAAUGGACGAGAGUCUGAACCAGCCAAGUAGCGUGAAGGAUGACUGCCCUAUGGGUUGUAAACUUCUUUUAUACGGGAAUAAAGUGAGGCACGUGUGCCUUUUUGUAUGUACCGUAUGAAUAAGGAUCGGCUAACUCCGUGCCAGCAGCCGCGGUAAUACGGAGGAUCCGAGCGUUAUCCGGAUUUAUUGGGUUUAAAGGGAGCGUAGGCGGACGCUUAAGUCAGUUGUGAAAGUUUGCGGCUCAACCGUAAAAUUGCAGUUGAUACUGGGUGUCUUGAGUACAGUAGAGGCAGGCGGAAUUCGUGGUGUAGCGGUGAAAUGCUUAGAUAUCACGAAGAACUCCGAUUGUGAAGGCAGCUUGCUGGACUGUAACUGACGCUGAUGCUCGAAAGUGUGGGUAUCAAACAGGAUUAGAUACCCUGGUAGUCCACACAGUAAACGAUGAAUACUCGCUGUUUGCGAUAUACAGUAAGCGGCCAAGCGAAAGCGUUAAGUAUUCCACCUGGGGAGUACGCCGGCAACGGUGAAACUCAA